rnacentral:lncRNA from 10 species
AUGCGCAAGGCUUGAAUGGCGUCGGGGUUGGAGGGUUGGAAGGUCGGGAAGUGAAGGACUCGCAGGCAUAUUUAACAACGCAAAGUUGCUAGGAGUUGGUACCAGCGUUUGGGAGGUAGAGGUGGCGCUCAUGCAUAUUUGAGACAACAUCUGGAUGGUUGGGGAGAACGGUAAGGAGGAAGCGGCGCGCAUGCGUAUUUCAGACGGAGUGCCGGGGAGGGGAGGCGCUCAGCAUUCGGGUAAUUAAGGUUGCAAAAUGGCGAGGGGGGAGGUAAGCUGUCUUUGCUUGGCCAUCUUGGGCUAGCAGGCCUUGCAGAGAACUACCUUUUUAGCUGAGUGAAGGGAUCAACCUGAGUUGGAGUUCUCCUAUGCUGUGGCCAGAUCCACUAGAAAUUAACCCAGAAUCUUAGCCUCUCAGUGGCCUAUCGGUAAGUGGGUACAAAAAUGAGGAGGCGAUGAUGACUCUGCAAAAGGUUGCGGCAGCUGGCGGUGCGUAGGAAAUGCGUAAAAAGGGAGCACUUGGAGACAGGCCACAUUUGGGCAGUACGCAUUCGGAGGGCUCUCUGGCUUUCCGAUCUUGGGUCGCUGUACUUGGCUCUGAAUACAGUCACCCCAUCAGAGUAGCAAAACACUGUGGUUGUAGUGUGAGAAUCCAAUGUUAAUGUUGGCCGAAAGCUCUUGAUUUUCUUCCCUGAGAACAUAGGCGUGAGGAUUUGGAUGUGUUUCCAAAUGCUUGUUACUCUUUGCCGUAAACCUGGAAUUUGGACCUAUGGCUGCCUGGGACUCAUACUGUCGUGGAGAAAGAUUGAAAAGUAGUUAAUGGCAGUGGUGGUAUGAAGGUAACCUGGGCUUUCACCCUUUCCUUUAUUUUUUCUUCUGUAGAACUUUCAGCACGGUUUUGUCAAGGGAGAAGAUUAGAGUUUCUAUUUUAAAGGCAGAUGUACUGUCAUGACUCUCUGAAGACUUGCUGUUAAUCGCUAAAACUAGUAAGUUAGCACUUAGAUACAGACAUAGUUAGAAGGAGCACAGGAUUAAAAA